CCCUUAGAUGUUCUGGGCGGCCCGCGCACUACAAUGGCACUUUCAGCGAGUUCCUAUGUUGAAUUUUCCUGGGUAUUCUUGGAAGCGGCGUCUUGACUUGGGAUAGAUCCUUGUAAUUGUUGGUUUUGAACGAGGAAUUCCUUGUAAUCGCGGUUGAUCAGCUCGCGUUGAAUACGUCCCUGCCCUUUGUACACACCGCCCGUCGCUCCUACCGAUGAAUCGUCCGGUGAAGUUCACAGAGUGGCGGUUCGUGGAGUUGCUCGCGAAGUGAAAUGGACCUCACGAUUUAGAGGAAGGAGAAGUCGUAACA
rnacentral:rRNA from 1 species